ACGCUGGCGGCAGGCUUAACACAUGCAAGUCGAGCGGUAACAGGGAUUAGCUUGCUAAUUUGCUGACGAGUGGCGGACGGGUGAGUAAUGCUUGGGAAUCUGGCUUAUGGAGGGGGAUAACUACGGGAAACUGUAGCUAAUACCGCGUAAUAUCGGAAGAUUAAAGGGUGGGACUUUCGAGCCACCUGCCAUAAGAUGAGCCCAAGUGGGAUUAGGUAGUUGGUUAGGUAAAGGCUGACCAAGCCGACGAUCUCUAGCUGGUCUGAGAGGAUGACCAGCCACACUGGAACUGAGACACGGUCCAGACUCCUACGGGAGGCAGCAGUGGGGAAUAUUGCACAAUGGGGGGAACCCUGAUGCAGCCAUGCCGCGUGAAUGAAGAAGGCCUUCGGGUUGUAAAGUUCUUUCGGUGACGAGGAAGGUUGAUAGGUUAAUAGCCUAUCAAAUUGACGUUAAUCACAGAAGAAGCACCGGCUAACUCCGUGCCAGCAGCCGCGGUAAUACGGGGGGUGCGAGCGUUAAUCGGAAUAACUGGGCGUAAAGGGCACGCAGGCGGUGACUUAAGUGAGAUGUGAAAGCCCCGAGCUUAACUUGGGAAUUGCAUUUCAUACUGGGUCGCUAGAGUACUUUAGGGAGGGGUAGAAUUCCACGUGUAGCGGUGAAAUGCGUAGAGAUGUGGAGGAAUACCGAAGGCGAAGGCAGCCCCUUGGGAAUGUACUGACGCUCAUGUGCGAAAGCGUGGGGAGCAAACAGGAUUAGAUACCCUGGUAGUCCACGCUGUAAACGAUGUCGAUUUGGGGAUUGGGCUUUGAGCUUGGUGCCCGUAGCUAACGUGAUAAAUCGACCGCCUGGGGAGUACGGCCGCAAGGUUAAAACUCAAAUGAAUUGACGGGGGCCCGCACAAGCGGUG
rnacentral:rRNA from 1 species